rnacentral:rRNA from 1 species
GUACACUCCUGCGGGAGGCAACAGUGGGGAAUAUUGGACAAUGGGCGCAAGCCUGAUCCAGCCAUGCCGCGUGAGUGAUGAAGGCCCUAGGGUUGUAAAGCUCUUUCACCGGUGAAGAUAAUGACGGUAACCGGAGAAGAAGCCCCGGCUAACUUCGUGCCAGCAGCCGCGGUAAUACGAAGGGGGCUAGCGUUGUUCGGAUUUACUGGGCGUAAAGCGCACGUAGGCGGACUAUUAAGUCAGGGGUGAAAUCCCGGGGCUCAACCCCGGAACUGCCUUUGAUACUGGUAGUCUUGAGUUCGAGAGAGGUGAGUGGAAUUCCGAGUGUAGAGGUGAAAUUCGUAGAUAUUCGGAGGAACACCAGUGGCGAAGGCGGCUCACUGGCUCGAUACUGACGCUGAGGUGCGAAAGCGUGGGGAGCAAACAGGAUUAGAUACCCCGGUAGUCCCAUGAU